rnacentral:rRNA from 1 species
AUUGAACGCUGGCGGCAUGCCUUACACAUGCAAGUCGAACGGCAGCGGGGGAGAAGCUUGCUUUUCCUGCCGGCGAGUGGCGAACGGGUGAGUAAUACAUCGGAACGUGCCCUGUAGUGGGGGAUAACUAGUCGAAAGAUUAGCUAAUACCGCAUACGACCUGAGGGUGAAAGUGGGGGACCGCAAGGCCGCAUGCUAUAGGAGCGGCCGAGGUCUGAUUAGCUAGUUGGUGGGGUAAAGGCCUACCAAGGCGACGAUCAGUAGCUGGUCUGAGAGGACGAUCAGCCACACUGGGACUGAGACACGGCCCAGACUCCUACGGGAGGCAGCAGUGGGGAAUUUUGGACAAUGGGCGAAAGCCUGAUCCAGCAAUGCCGCGUGUGUGAAGAAGGCCUUCGGGUUGUAAAGCACUUUUGUCCGGAAAGAAAUGGCUCUGGUUAAUACCUGGGGUCGAUGACGGUACCGGAAGAAUAAGGACCGGCUAACUACGUGCCAGCAGCCGCCGUAA